UGGAUACACAUAAACAGCAGUUUGCAGCAGUCUGAUACACUGGUUUUCCCUAAAUACAGGUGCUGGUUAGUUAUCUGCUGCCUCAGUGUAACUAAUAGUUUAAGUGAUAUUUCUGAAAAGGUGUAUCGCCCAUUCAUUAAGAUUUAAAGGGAUGGAACAGGAUCUACUCAUUUUUAUCCCUCUGAUUAACAUGGCCUAAUGUCUCCACAGCUUUAGCCAUUGGGAAGGAAGUCUCAGAAAGCUCAUAACCAAGAGGAAGACAGAAUGGUAACAGUCCAAGAGAUUUACGUUUAAGUGAAGUCUAUAAUGCAAUUUGUGAUCACAAUGAAAGAAGGGCAGAACCUUUUGAAGGCAUUGAUAUGCAGCCUCAGCAAUUCAAGUCUUCCAGGAUAACUGGAGCAAUCUUCGCACCAACAUGCGGUGACCCCUACUCACUGAGAAUCAAGUCACCAUUGCCAUCUAGAAGCUUCCCACCCAAUCUGACAGCUUAGACCAAACAUUACUCCAUGCUGCUAUGCUGGCAACUACAAACAGGCAGAGGAAGCUUGGUACUUCAGUUCUCAAAGCUGAGUGGCUUCAGUUUUGGACUUUGUCCAUAGCACUACUGAGCAGCUGAUGUGGCUGCUGCAGCAGGACAAGGAAGAUGAGGAUGACACUGAUCAAUGGAUACUACAGGAACUGUCCCUGGAGUAGCUUCACUGGAGCAGUAUUAUUUCUGGACUCAGGAAACCAGAGACAACAGCUUGGAAAGGGUUAUUCUGCAGGAAUGACCAGCCACAGCAAGAGAAUUUCAGGAUUCCAAAGGUGACCUUUUUUGAGAUGUGUGCUGGACUAGCCCCGGAGCUGCAGCAUACCAACAUGCGGUGCCCCCUACUCACUGAGAAUCAAGUCACCAUUGCCAUCUAGAAGCUGGCCACCCCAGAAUGUUACCAAUCCAUAGCCAAGCAAUUUGGCUUAGGUAGAUGGACUGUUGACACCAUUAUCAUGCAGGUGUGUGCUGACAUGCAUAAGGUACUGUUGCACCAAGUUAUAAAGCUUGGUAAUGCUCAGGAGAUUAUUGAUGGCUUUGCAUGCCUGAGGUUCCCAAACUGUACUGGUGCUCCAACAACUGGUUGACCACUGUUAACAGGUUUCCAAACAUAAAUGUAAGGUGGUCUAGAAAGGUCCACAAUGGUAGAGUGGAGUUCCAAAAGAUCCUAUUUACCUUAAUGAAUAAAAGACAAUUUGUCCCCAAGAUCACUAUGGAUAUUAAUGGUGUGAAGAUUGCUCCAGUUAUCCUGGAAGACCUGACUUAUCCUCUGCUGUCCUGGGAUAAUGAAGCCAUUCCUGGGCCACUUGGACAGAAAGAAUGAAUUGUUUAACUAUCACCUCAGUAGUUGCACAAUGACAGUGAGCGUGUCUGACUGUCUGAAAGGAAGGUGGCUCUGUUUGUGGAACAAGUUGGUAGCUCCAGAUUAAAAAACAAACAAACAAACAAACAAAAACACCUUGCCUAAGCUUGUAGUUGCAUGCUGUAUUUUGCACAAUGCGUGUGAGAGAAAGAGAUAAAAAGUCUUAAUGGGUGGGAGGGUGAGGUGCAGAGAUUUGCUAAGAAGUUUGAACAACCAACAAGGUGUCCAACAGAAAAUGUAAACCACCAGGGCAAUACUUUCCAUUGCUCUUUCUUUGAGGCCUGAAAACAUGCACCUGUACAUCCAGCCACAAUCCCAAGGCAGGGGAAGGAGAGGCAAAUCAUGAGCAGAGCUGUCUCUUUUUUGGGUGUAGAAAUGGCAUGUGGUGGCUUACUUUACUUUGUG